AACGAACGCUGGCGGCGUGGAUAAGACAUGCAAGUCGAGCGCUAAUUUAAGGGUAGCAAUAUUCUUAAGUUGGAGCGGCGCAAGGGUGCGUAACACGUGGGUAAUUUGCCGUGAAGUUGGGGAUAACUUGCUGAAAGGCGAGCUAAUACCGAAUGUGACGUUUGGAAGGCAUCUUCCGAAUUUCAAAGCUGGGGACCGCAAGGCCUGGCGCUUCACGAUAAGCCCGCGGCCUACAGCUAGUUGGUGAGGUAAUGGCUCACCAAGGCUAAGACGGGUAGCUGGUCUGAGGAGGACGA
rnacentral:rRNA from 1 species